ACUUAGUACACCAUAAACUCAAGACAGGUCCAUUGCAUUUUACUGGAAUUCCUGAUUUUACAGAAGAGGGAACCUUGGUUUUUUUCUCCAGUUUUCCUGUAAGCUAUGCUCAUAGCUCGCGGAAAGAUAGAAGAUAAGUUUUACAGGUGGAUUUGGGUGCCACCGAGGACUAUUCUAGCUCAGUCUCAUCGCAGCCGACCGGAGGCACGACGAUCCCGAGACGUGCGGCGUAAGUUAUCCGGCCCUCGGCACGGCCAUAAGCAGAG